rnacentral:rRNA from 1 species
UACAGAGGGUGCAAGCGUUGUUCGGAAUUACUGGGCGUAAAGCGCGCGCAGGCGGAUCCUGUAAGUCUGGAGUGAAAUUUCACCGCUCAACGGUGAAGCUGCUUUGGAUACUGCGGAUCUGGAGACCGGUAGAGGCUGGUAGAAUUGCAGGUGUAGCGGUGGAAUGCGUAGAGAUCUGCAAGAAUACCCGUGGCGAAGGCGGCCAGCUGGGCCGGGUUCUGACGCUGAGGCGCGAAAGCGUGGGGAGCAAACAGG